CGCGGCGCGCUGAUUGGCUGGCGCAGAUUCCAGCGGCUUUCCCGGGGCGGGGGCCAAGGCGGAGUAAAGGGGUGCCGCGGGCAGCAGCCGCCCCCGCCCCCCGUCCACCUGGACGCUAGUGCCAGUGCCCGGCACGCGGGCGCCUUGGCCGGGGGCUUCUCCUGCGCUCCGCUCGGCUUCUGAUGGUGCCUUCAUCCAGGGUCCAGCAUGACGAUCCGACACCAAGGCCAACAGUACAGGCCGAGGAUGGCAUUUCUGCAGAAGGUUUGCAAGCUGCCCGCUGGUCUUGAAGAGUCAGCCGUGCUUGGGCGGAAAGUCAGAGGGUGAAGAGCUUCCCAUGAGCCCAGGCCGGACUGUUCCGAGGGUGUUCUACGCCCUUUCCCCCAGCGGUUCCCACCAACUCCGGUGAUCCACAGGCUGGUCUGCACGUGAAUGCCCGCUGUGUUGCCUUCCUUCCCCUGGCUCCCUUCCCCAGCUACCUACCGCUGCUUCCUGAGAUCAGCCCUCUCACCAACCCUAUGAGAUCCCAUUAUUUCCCCCAAUUUUACAGAGGCGGCCUGAUUUCCCCCAGAAGAAGCUACUGAGGAAUUUGGAGCAGGUGAGUGAUGGGGUCAGAUUCAAGCUCAAAAUCAAGGUCAAAAGACCAGCCUGAUGUGAAGGAGAGGAAAGAUGGCAUGUCUUCUUUUCCCGGAGCUUACAGAGUUCACCCAAGUCCUCCUGUGUUCACCACAACUCUAGCUGCCUAGAAAGUGACAGGCUUAUCCAGGACGGGGAGAAAGGUUACUGGUCAGAGGUUGUUUCUUUCUCCUCGGACUGCCGUGUCCCCAUCUCAGGCCCAGUGCACCUAUCGGGUAGACAGGCCCGCCAGCCCCUGCUGCUGCCCACUUCUGAUUUCUGUUGCAGGAUGUGGGGACUGGCACCCCAGCAGGGAGGGCUAAUGGGCUUGCUUAAGAUGUGGCAGAAAGAGGGGUGCCUGGGUGGCUCAGUUAGUUAAGCUGCUGACUCUUGGUUUCAGCUCAGGUCAUGAUCUCAG